rnacentral:rRNA from 1 species
GGGCCCGCACAAGCGGUGGAGCAUGUGGUUUAAUUCGAUGCAACGCGAAGAACCUUACCAGGGUUUGACAUCCUGCGAAUCUCUUGGAAACGAGAGAGUGCCUUCGGGAGCGCAGUGACAGGUGGUGCAUGGCUGUCGUCAGCUCGUGUCGUGAGAUGUUGGGUUAAGUCCCGCAACGAGCGCAACCCACGUCUUUAGUUGCCAGCAUUUAGUUGGGCACUCUAAAAAGACUGCCGGUUAUAAACCGGAGGAAGGUGGGGAUGACGUCAAGUCAGCAUGCCCCUUACACCCUGGCUACACACGUGCUACAUUGGGCGAGACAAUGAGAUGCAAAUCUGUGAAGACUAGCU